GUGCCAGCCGCCGCGGUAAUACGGAGGGUGCAAGCGUUAAUCGGAAUUACUGGGCGUAAAGCGUGCGUAGGCGGUUAUUUAAGUCAGAUGUGAAAGCCCCGGGCUUAACCUGGGAACUGCAUUUGAUACUGGGUAACUAGAGUUUAAUAGAGGAGAGUGGAAUUUCAGGUGUAGCGGUGAAAUGCGUAGAGAUCUGAAGGAACACCAGUGGCGAAGGCGACUCUCUGGAUUAAAACUGACGCUGAGGUACGAAAGCGUGGGUAGCAAACAGGAUUAGAUACCCUUGUAGUCC
rnacentral:rRNA from 1 species